rnacentral:tRNA from 1 species
CGGGGCGUAGCGCAGCCUGGUAGCGCACCUGAAUGGGGUUCAGGUGGUCGUCGGUUCAAAUCCGACCGCCCCGACCA